CUUAAGUGUGGAGGCAAACAUCUCAUGGAGAGCAGUUGUUCAAUUGCACAUGGCUCCUGGUGGCUGGGAUGCUCAUGGAUGGAACACUCACUGGUAGAGCCCGCGUGUGCCCUGAGGAAUGGCACUUUGGUGCAUAGAACAGAACAAAGAAAUCCACUGAAGGGUUGCAGUAAAUGAUACAAAGGAAAAAUGCUGGAACCUGGUGGCCACUGCUCUCCAUGCUGAUGAUUUAGAAAGGCUUAAGUUUGUGCAGAAGGAGGCCCCAGACUUGGGCUUGAGUACUUGGCAUCCUCUUCAUUUGCUAGAUGUGUGGCCUUUGGCCCAUUACUUACCCUUACAGAAUCACCCUUGAAAUAGAGUUAAUAACAUCAUCCUGAAGAG
rnacentral:lncRNA from 1 species